rfam:Solanum tuberosum cultivar DM 1-3 516 R44 scf00514_14, whole genome shotgun sequence.
UAUUUGUUUAGUAGCCAAGGAUGACUUGCCUUUCAUCAAUGCCUUGUAAAAAGGAAAUUAAUUAAAAUCCUUUUUAUGGUAUUGGGAAAAUGAGUGGCAAGCAUCCUUGGCGACUUGACAAGCUCU